GCCAGGCGUGGUGGCUCAUGCCUGUAAUCCCAGCACUUUGGGAGGCUGAGGUGGGUGGAUCACUUGAGGCCAGGAGUUCAAGACCAGCCUGGCCAACAUGGUGAAACCCCAUCUCUA
rnacentral:SRP_RNA from 1 species